rnacentral:tRNA from 1 species
CCCGGCUGGCACAAUCGGUAGCGCGUGAGACUCUUAAUCUCAAGGUUGUGGGUUCGGUUAGUACACCUCUUAAGUUCGAGA